UACACGUGUAUUGUAGCCUCCCACACCGAGAAGGUGGCAGCAGAUGGCAGCUGAGGGGCUGUAACCUGCCCACGGAGGCCGUCCAGAAAGCAUGGUGUCAUUCUUCCACAGUGCAAAUGAAAAGGGCAAGCAGGAAGAGGUGAAGCCAACUGAUUAUACAAAAGAGGAUCCAGGGCAAAGGUACAAAAACAACGUGGGACAUCUAUUUGGGUUACAUCAAGGAUGUUGGCAAGUACACUAUUUUUAUUUUUUUCUACUUAGCAUAUAUUACUAAAUUCUUAAAUAUGCUAGCGUCUCUUUCUGAGCUUUGUAGUACUCCGUUCUCUUCUUGUCCCAUCCCCUUGAG
rnacentral:lncRNA from 1 species